rnacentral:rRNA from 1 species
UACGUAGGGUGCGAGCGUUGUCCGGAAUUAUUGGGCGUAAAGAGCUUGUAGGCGGUCUGUCGCGUCUGCUGUGAAAAUCCGGGGCUCAACCCCGGACUUGCAGUGGGUACGGGCAGACUAGAGUGUGGUAGGGGAGACUGGAAUUCCUGGUGUAGCGGUGAAAUGCGCAGAUAUUGGGAGGAACACCUGCGGCGAAGGCGGCUACCUGGACAGAAACUGACGCUGAGG